UACGGAGGGUGCGAGCGUUGUCCGGAAUCACUGGGCUUAAAGGGCGCGUAGGCGGGCUCGCCAGUCAGGGGUGAAAGCCUCCAGCUCAACUGGAGAAGUGCCUUUGAUACUGCGAGCCUCGAGGGAGGUAGGGGCGUGCGGAACUUCCGGUGGAGCGGUGAAAUGCGUAGAUAUCGGAAGGAACACCGGUGGCGAAAGCGGCGCGCUGGACCUCUUCUGACGCUGAGGCGCGAAAGCCAGGGGAGCAAACGGG
rnacentral:rRNA from 1 species